rfam:Neotoma lepida isolate 417 scaffold_60, whole genome shotgun sequence.
GGAGAGAUGGCUCAGUGGUUAAGAGCACUGACUGCUCUUCCAGAGGACCUGGGUUCAAUUCCCAGCAUACCCA